CCUACGGGACGCAGCAGUGAGGAAUAUUGGUCAAUGGGCGAGAGCCUGAACCAGCCAAGUCGCGUGAAGGAUGACGGCCCUAUGGGUUGUAAACUUCUUUUGUCAGGGAGCAGUUGAGUCCACGUGUGGGCUUAGCGAGAGUACCUGAAGAAAAAGCAUCGGCUAACUCCGUGCCAGCAGCCGCGGUAAUACGGAGGAUGCGAGCGUUAUCCGGAUUUAUUGGGUUUAAAGGGUGCGUAGGCGGAUUGAUAAGUUAGAGGUGAAAUGUCCGAGCUCAACUCGGGAACUGCCUCUAAUACUGUUGA
rnacentral:rRNA from 1 species